AAAAUGCGCGGGCGCGCGAGGCAGCUGCUAUUGAAAAAAUAUGGGUUAACUGCCAAUGAUUAACUCCCGACCUUUUCGCGGCCGUGUUCGCGGGGAUGCGUCGAAAGGUCAUCCGGAUCCUGACGGCGCAGCACGAUCGGCUCUCGACCUUUGCCGAUCGGGAUAUCGUUUAAUAAGCGAGCAGAUAAAUCUUCUCCUGACUGCAUACAUAGCAAUGGAUAUUUAUGGACGGUUUUUAGUUUUCAUUCGGCGCGUACCGGUUAAUUAAUUUAACCGUUAUUUAUUGCCUUUUGGACGUGAACAUAGUGUGCGUGCGUUGUAAUUGAAAUUUGUUGGUUGUGCUAAUUCGCCAACGAGGCGAUAAAUAAUCUCGGUGCGAGAAGGAGAUGAAAAUGUAUGCAACAAUAGUCCACUUUGUCAAGGUAAUUUGCCAGGAAUUACCUUGGUAAUCUCCUGGAACGGAAAUUAAUAAUUUGCAGCACUUUACACUGGAAGAAAAAUUCCAGCGCAGCCUGGCGCGUUUCGAGAAAACUUUGGUGGCGCAGGUUGCGCGUCAGGAAUUACAGAGGGGCUACUGUGAAAGAAACGAGGCGUAAAGUGUGAGCCGCGACGCGACUAUGGACGCCGGCCAAAAUCGGGAGCUUCCGCUCGGGAGAAUCAGAGCGGAAAGGAGCAGAGUGAACUUCAAAUUUCCGACGCCUCAUCCUCGUCGUCCCUCGACUGCACUUUGUUUGCACCGGUCACGCGCUGGAACUUGUAGUUUUGCCUAGCUUUCCUGGACGUCAAUCAACCGAUGCCGACAGUCGGUGCUUUCUUCUGGGAACGGGCUGAACAGUCACCCGUGAUGCAUUUCAAAGAAGCAGUUUUUUUUAAAGAAGUUAUGUAGUUUCCCGGUAGGAAAGCAAUAUCUACUUCGACCAGGAAUCCCCGGUCUUAUCAACGCUUCCAUUGAACGCGAUGUAUACACACAACCGACGGGACAGAUAAGAAACGUAUAUAAAAGCGUCGCAGAUUUUCAAAUUGGACAUACUGCAAAGUAACUUAAAAUCGUCGAAACUACCAGACUACUACUUCACUAACCGGCAAGAUGAGUCAAACUCUUACCUACCUUCUGCUCUUGGUCGUCCUCAUCGCCUGCAUGGCUAACAGCGCCGUUGCAUGGGGAUGCAGCAGCAACAGCGAGUGCGGCUUGUGUAGCUGCACUGGUGGCUACUGCGUCUGCCCCGAUGGAGUCGUCUAGGCAGCAUCCAUUGGGAAGCCUGUUCAUUUUGACUGAUUGAUUUACGUAAUUCGAGAAGGAAAUAUUUGAUCUAUGAAUUUGAUUAAUCGUUGCUGAUGAACUAAAUUCGAAAUAAAUGAUUUUUACUUAAACAAUCUUCUCUAGUCUUGAUUUACCUAUACGUUACAUCCUCCUGUAAUACGCUCAGUGGUAGUAUUAUGUGCAUUUUGGGAACCACGAUGUAGCUAUGUACAAAGGUUUACAUAAUUUUUCCAGAAAUAAAUAUUGGGAAUCCCCGUUCUUAUCAACGACAGGUAUUUAUUGCCCUUGAGUAUUUUUGUUGUACGUGUGAUAAAUAAACACGAAUGACUGUUAGUUAAAGAUACGUAUAAAAGAAUCGCAAUAAAUUUUCAAAGUGGUCACAUUGUAUAGUAGCUUGAAAUCAUCAACUGUAUCAGCUCCACUAACCGCCGAAAUGAGUCGAAUCUGCCUUCUGCUCUUGGUCGUCCUCGUCGUAGCUUGUUUUGUCAGCAAAGCCGUUGAGGCAUCUGACCUCGAUAAUUGCACCACUAACGCUCAUUGCGGACCAUCGUGUUUUUGCGAUAAUGGUCGUUGUUGGUGGGGUUGCGUCCAUAACAGAAAUGGAAGAAAAGAUGUGAUCCAUAAACUUCGUUGAUCUCGUAGUUAGCGUGUCAUGUCCUAUCUUGUCAUUAUUCUCAUUGUACGUUUGUCGAAAUAAAACGAAAACGGCAUAUA